AAUCAACGCUGGCGGCGUGCCUAACACAUGCAAGUCGAACGCGAAAGUCUCCUCGGAGGCGAUUAGAGUGGCGUACGGGUGAGUAACGCGUGGGUAAUCUGCCCUUGGGUGGGGAAUAACCAGUCGAAGAUUGGCUAAUACCGCAUAAUGCAGCGGCUCGACAUCGAGACAGUUGUUAAAGCAGCAAUGCGCCUGAGGAGGAGCCUGCGUCUGAUUAGCUAGUUGGUGAGGUAAUGGCUCACCAAGGCUACGAUCAGUAGCUGGUCGUGAGAGGACGGCCAGCCACAAUGGGCACUGAACACGGGCCAUACUCCUACGGGAGGCAGCAGUGGGGAAUUUUGUCGCAAUGGGCGAAAGCCUGACGCAGCAACGCCGCGUG
rnacentral:rRNA from 1 species